rnacentral:rRNA from 1 species
CCUACGGGUGGCUGCAGUGGGGAAUAUUGGACAAUGGGCGAAAGCCUGAUCCAGCCAUGCCGCGUGUGUGAAGAAGGCCUUCGGGUUGUAAAGCACUUUCAGUGGGGAAGAAAGCCUUGGGGCUAAUACCCUCGAGGAAGGACAUCACCCACAGAAGAAGCACCGGCUAACUCCGUGCCAGCAGCCGCGGUAAUACGGAGGGUGCGAGCGUUAAUCGGAAUUACUGGGCGUAAAGCGCGCGUAGGCGGUCUGAUAAGCCGGUUGUGAAAGCCCCGGGCUCAACCUGGGAACGGCAUCCGGAACUGUCAGGCUAGAGUGCAGGAGAGGAAGGUAGAAUUCCCGGUGUAGCGGUGAAAUGCGUAGAGAUCGGGAGGAAUACCAGUGGCGAAGGCGGCCUUCAGGACUGACACUGACGCUGAGGUGCGAAAGCGUGGGUAGCAAACAGGAUUAGAUACCCUGGUAGUC